ACCUGGGUGGCUCAGUUGGUUGAGCGUCUGACUUUGGUUCAGGUCCUGAUCUCGCAGUCUGCGAGUUCGAGCCUCGCAUCGGGCU
rnacentral:tRNA from 1 species